rnacentral:lncRNA from 10 species
CAGGGUCUCACACUGUCACCCAGGCUGGACUGGAGUGCAGGGAAGGAAUCACAGAUCACUAUUUCCUCAACUUCCUGGUUUCAGAAAGCAAGCCAGCCAGGCACGGUGGCUCAUGCCUGCAAUCCUGGCAUUUUGGGAGGCCGAGGUGGGAAGAUCACUUGAGGCCAGGAGUUCAAGACCAGCAUGGCCAACAUAGCAAUGGGUAUCUCUACUAAAUCUCUACUAAAAAUAAGAAAUUUAGCUGGGCAUGGUCGUGCACAACUGUGAUCUCAGCUAAUCGGGAAGCUAAGGUAUAAGAAUCGCUUGAAUCUGGGAGGCAGAGGUUGCAGUGAGCCGAGAUCACACCGCUGCACUCCAACCUGAGUGACAGAGCAAGAUUCUGUCUCAAAAAAAGGAAAGAAAGAAUGAAAGUGAGAAAGAAAGAAAGAACAAAAGAAAGAAAGAAAGAAGGAAAGAAAGAAGGAAAGAAAGAAAGAAAAAGAAAGAAAGGAAGGAAGAAAGAAAGAAAGAAAAGAAAUGAAGUCUGUGUUUUCGAUGGAUGGCUCUGAAAUGCUCCCUCAAAGCCGUGAUUUGCCACAAGAAAUUGGAUACGUCCAACACUGAAAGUGCUUGGAAGUGGAGUCUUCUUCAGAUGCUUCAAGCAAGAGCCCAGUCCAUUUGACUUUGAUUUUGGUCUUGUGAGACCCUCCACAGAGAAUCCAGUUAAGCCUGCCUGUACUUCUGACCUGUGGAACUGAGAGAUAAGAAGUGGGUUGUUUUAAGUCACUAAGUUCAUGGUGAUUUGUUUUACAGCAAAAGAAGAGUAAUACACAUUGAAACACACCCAUUUGUCCAUCUCUUCGUGUUGUUAGAGGCUAAUGGCUUCAAGCAGAGCCCUCUAUCGAAAUUACCUUUGCCCACGGAGACCUGGCUUGACUAUGGUAAUGCCCUUUCCUGCAGGGUUACCCCCAUGCAGCAUUUGGUUGAUGGAAGGUACAAAAGUGCAGUCCCUUGUCUCAUGUAAGAUACUCUGAAGGGCCAUCUUAGAUUCAACGCUCCCUGUGAAUUGAUCUGAGAUGUCUAUUACAGUGCAUCACAAAUCAACUUCUAUUUCUCUCCAACCUUCCCCUCUCCCCACUUUGUGGUUGUUUGCAAGGACAGGCUCCAUAAACUACUUCUACCCUAAAACUCCUUGUCAGGAUCUGUUUCCAAAGGAUAUAGCCUAUGACAUCUUAUAUUCAGUAGAAUGAGAGAGAUGAAAAUUAUAACAAUGUUUUAAUUUAUUUAAUCUAGUGUCAAGUCUAUGAUAGACACACACACACACACUUUUUAUAAACUCUGAGACAAAUGAAUGGUGUUUCUAAAUGUUGUGAUUGUUUCAGAGAAAGUUAAUAACAUCUGUAUCAUGUUUAGUCUUCCUCUUUUUGGGAUAGAAGUCGUAUAUGUUAACAUAACACAUGGUCAUCUAGCUAUUGUUUACAUUUCUCUGCCUUCCAUGUAACUGGAUUCAGCCAUGUGUCUAUCUUGUCAACAAAGGAAUAUAAACAGAAUUGAUAUAGGUUAUCAACAUGUUACAUGCUUGAAGGAAAAUUGCUCAUUCUCCAUUUCCUCUCCUUACCCCUUACAUUACCAGGAAAUGCUAAUAAAUGCAACAAAUUCAGAAGUUAUAUAUAAAGGACAGCAGCACCACUCUGCCACUUGAAGCACUCAAUAGAGCCUGUUAUUUGAGAGAAUAAUACAUUUUUCGUCAUAUAAAUCCACUGUAUUUUGGGGGUCUCUAUUGACAGAAACUUUACCUGUACUUCUUCUUACAGUGCUAAAGGUAGGACUUUUUGAAGAAAAAGUUUUUGCCCUCUAUUCUUUAAUAUGUCUUAAUCAAUGAAAUUAUGCCAAGUAUGUAAUUUAAAUAGAUAUGACUCCUAUUCUGAACAAAUGGCCUGAAAAUACAACAAAUUUGCUAAGUCAAUUAUUUCUACUUGUCCAUAAAGGUCCAAGUAGCACUCUGUAAAUCAAACAUGUACAAGAAUCGAGGACUCUACUAGACAAAAUAUGUACUAACAUGGACAUUUAGGCAUAUCUACAGCUUCCAUCAUGUUUUGAUAAUGUGAAUGUAUAUUGGACUGCUGCUGUCCAUGUUCACUGGUUACAUUAAGACUGUGGGGGUAAUAAUUGUGGAGGGAAGGUCUAUCUUAAAAUAUGUAUGGAAGAUGGAGCUCUAAUGAUAUGGAGAACAGAUAAAGCAUUUGCAGGUUUGACUUAACACCAAGAAAGAGUGUAAGAAGCUUUAGAAGGUGAUAGAGCAAAGACAGUUUUAUGCAAUAAUAGAACAUUUUGUAAAACACAUAGUUGCUACAUUUUACCUAUAUGUUUUUCAUAAUAAAAUCUUU